ACUGCCACUCUGCGGAAAAAAAGAAGUUUAAUUUCCAAAAUGCGGCUGUAGGCAAACCGGGGAGUCGUGCACGCGAGAUGGUGGCUUUCCUGAGCUCCCCUGGCGUCCGAAACACACUGCGCUGAUUGAGCAUUAGUCCCAGGACAAGGGCAUGUUCGAGUACCAUUUCAAAACCUACACGCUCAGAUAGAAUUUGGAGUGGUAUGAAGUACCUCAUACACUGAAGAACCAGCAUUUUGAAGGACCUGCAGGUGCUACCACAAGGCUCCCCAGAAGGGAAAAUCAGGAUAGCACAUCUUGGCAGAUGGAAGCAUAAAUCUGGCAAGGAAGCGAACACAAGUGAGAAGCAUGUUGAGUCAGUCUCCUCCAAAGAUGCUCAUUGAAAAC